GACGAACGCUGGCGGCGUGCUUAACACAUGCAAGUCGAACGAUAAAGCACCAGCUUUCUGGUGUGGAUUAGUGGCGAACGGGUGAGUAACACGUGAGUAACCUGCCCCUCACUCUGGGAUAAGUCUGGGAAACUGGGUCUAAUACUGGAUACGACCUACCUCUGCAUGGAGUGGUUGUGGAAGGUUUUUGUGGUGGGGGAUGGACUCGCGGCUUAUCAGCUUGUUGGUGGGGUAGUGGCCUACCAAGGCGUUGACGGGUAGCCGGCCUGAGAGGGUGACCGGCCACACUGGGACUGAGAUACGGCCCAGACUCCUACGGGAGGCAGCAGUGGGGAAUAUUGCACAAUGGGCGAAAGCCUGAUGCAGCAACGCCGCGUGCGGGAUGACGGCCUUCGGGUUGUAAACCUCUUUCACCAGGGACGAAGCUAGCGUGACGGUAACUGGAGAAGAAGCACCGGCUAACUACGUG
rnacentral:rRNA from 1 species